GAGUUCAGAACGAACUCCAUCAGAUCUACAGCCUUUGCUGAAGCCUCCUCCUGUAGCCCCUUGCUGGAGUCUCCUCCAGCAUCCCCUUACCCAUCAUCUCAUCUUGACGGGGCUUUUUUUUCUGCUGUCUUCUUUUGGAAUUUGACCAGUUCGGAUGUUUUUUUCUUCUUGCUAAGAAGAAAAGAAAACAAAGUCUUUUAUAGUCACAUAGAGCUGUCAGUCUUUUUUAUUUAAAGAAUUCAACUAUGUUUUUGUCUGUUAAUUGUGCCCUUGCACGUGUGUAUAUGUGGAUGUUUUAACUCCGAGUUAUCUCUCUGAUCUCAACCCUAACCUUUUUAAAUGAUCAGCUGGGAAGGAAGAAGAUAUCAGAGUUUUGAACUAGAAGGAGCAAGCUUCAAGGACAAGUGUUAAAAUGAGAAUUCUUUGAAUCAGUUCUUGGGAAAUUAAGCUAGGGAACAGAUAAUGGUAGAUCCUAAGGAUGACUUCUGGGCAUGAGAAACCAAGAAUUUGUGAAGGGAAAACAAGAACCAGACAUGAGGAGAUAAAGACUUGAGCAGCUGGAGUAUUGGAUCAUUUGCCUGCUAUCCCAGCACUUGAAAGCAUCCAGGACCAUGGAAAGAACUGAGGUGGGAGAAAACGGACUUGGAAGGCUUCCAGGAAGCAAUGGGGAAACCAAUGGAUGACAGUAUCAGAAAGGUCACAGUGUUUUUAUCAUUAUUAUCAUUAUCAUAAUUAUGACAUUUAUCAGUAUGUGGAGGUUGGGCAUAUGUUCCAUGGUACACAUGGAGAGGCCAAGAAACAACUUGUGAGUUGGGUCUGUUCUUCCACCAUAUGGGUUUCAGGGAUCAAAUUCAGGUCACCAGGCUUGGUGGCAAGGACCUCGAGCUAGUGAGCCAUUUGCCAGACCAAUGACACAUUUUAAUUGACUGGUGACAUCUCAGAGUAGAAGAUGGGAGAGCGCCAAAGGCGAGGUGGGAAUAGGUAGUCAGGUGGACAUCCAACCUGCUUGCCACCAUGAGGUUUAAGUGACAGAUAAUGGAUGUUGCCUGCCUAUGAUUUACCAGGAAGCAUUUUCCUUCUGGGGGAGGCUAGUGUACCAGUCACACCAAGCAGUUGUGGAUGGGAGUUCAGUGAAUUUGAGCAAUGCUUGGUUCAAUAUGUCUAAGUGCCUUCUUGUUACCUAUAAUUUUUGCAAAGCCUUUGAGGAAGGCAGAGUGAGAAGAAAAUGAGGAGAUGCCAUGUGAUUGCAGACACACAAUGGAUGCUCGAUUCAUGGAUGCUAGGAUGUGCUACAGCUAGAAGAACAGGAAGCGUCACAUGGGAAAGGAUGUCUGUACCUUUCUUGUUUGCAGGUGUGCAGGGUACUUCCUGGGCCAUUGCAAGGGCAUUUGCUGCUGGAGAGUCAUCUUUUACCACUAGCAAAAGAAACGGAAUUCACAUCAGAGGUGAGCAUGGACCGAAGAGAAAAUGCAGAGGAAAGUCAGCUGGAGAAAUUGGAUAGCAGGGAGAGAAGGCAGGGGUCUGCCAGCCCGUAGGGUUCCACCUAAAUCUGACCCCCUUGUUAUCAUUUUUAAAGUGUGUGUUAUGCCUGCAUGUGUGUCUGUGCACCACAUGUAUGCUUGGCUCCUGCAAAGGCUAGAAGAGGGUAUCAGAUACCUUGUGAUUAGAGUUACAGAUGGUUGUGAGCUACCAUAUAGGUGGUAGGAAUUGAACUCAGAUCCUAUGGAAGAACAGUCACUGCUCUUAGGCACUGAGCCACCUCUCCAGCCCUGACCAUCUUGUUAUUGUUACCUAUGCACCUGCUAAGAGCAGAUACAUCACGGAAUUUGGCUUGCUUUGAUGCAAUAAGUAAAACAGGGGCUUGAAAUCAUAACAGAUACAAAGGUCCAUCUCCUUAAAACUGUCUGUUUUGAAAGUUGUCUUAAAUUCUGGCUUCUUUAGGGUUAGGUAACUGAGGUACAUUGUAAACUGUCUACAGACUUUUGAAGUCAUUCCUUUCUUUUUAUAUCAUUUUAUUAUUUUUUAUUUUUUUGUUUUUUUUUUUUAAAUUUAAAAAAAAUUUUUGGUUUU
rnacentral:lncRNA from 1 species